GAAUUCGCCCUUAGAGUUUGAUCCUGGCUCAGGACGAACGCUGGCGGCGCGCCUAACACAUGCAAGUCGAACGGAGCUUAGAGAGCUUGCUUUUUAAGCUUAGUGGCGAACGGGUGAGUAACGCGUGAGUAACCUGCCCUAGAGUGGGGGACAACAGUUGGAAACGACUGCUAAUACCGCAUAAGCCCACGGUACCGCAUGGUACUGAGGGAAAAGGAUUUAUUCGCUUUAGGAUGGACUCGCGUCCAAUUAGCUAGUUGGUGAGGUAACGGCCCACCAAGGCGACGAUUGGUAGCCGGACUGAGAGGUUGAACGGCCACAUUGGGACUGAGACACGGCCCAGACUCCUACGGGAGGCAGCAGUGGGGGAUAUUGCACAAUGGGGGAAACCCUGAUGCAGCGACGCCGCGUGGAGGAAGAAGGUUUCGGAUUGUAAACUCCUGUCGUUAGGGACGAUAAUGACGGUACCUAACAAGAAAGCACCGGCUAACUACGUGCCAGCAGCCGCGGUAAAACGUAGGGUGCAAGCGUUGUCCGGAAUUACUGGGUGUAAAGGGAGCGCAGGCGGGAAGACAAGUUGGAAGUGAAAACCAUGGGCUCAACCCAUGAAUUGCUUUCAAAACUGUUUUUCUUGAGUAGUGCAGAGGUAGAUGGAAUUCCCGGUGUAGCGGUGGAAUGCGUAGAUAUCGGGAGGAACACCAGUGGCGAAGGCGGUCUACUGGGCACCAACUGACGCUGAGGCUCGAAAGCAUGGGUAGCAAACAGGAUUAGAUACCCUGGUAGUCCAUGCCGUAAACGAUGAUUACUAGGUGUUGGGGGAUUGACCCCCUCAGUGCCGCAGUUAACACAAUAAGUAAUCCACCUGGGGAGUACGACCGCAAGGUUGAAACUCAAAGGAAUUGACGGGGGCCCGCACAAGCGGUGGAGUAUGUGGUUUAAUUCGACGCAACGCGAAGAACCUUACCAAGGCUUGACAUUGAUUGAACGCUCUAGAGAUAGAGAUUUCCCUUCGGGGACAAGAAAACAGGUGGUGCAUGGCUGUCGUCAGCUCGUGUCGUGAGAUGUUGGGUUAAGUCCCGCAACGAGCGCAACCCCUAUCCUAUGUUACCAGCAAGUAAAGUUGGGGACUCAUGGGAGACUGCCAGGGACAACCUGGAGGAAGGCGGGGAUGACGUCAAGUCAUCAUGCCCCUUAUGUCUUGGGCUACACACGUACUACAAUGGUCGGAAACAGAGGGAAGCGAAGCCGCGAGGCAGAGCAAACCCCAGAAACCCGAUCUCAGUUCGGAUCGCAGGCUGCAACCCGCCUGCGUGAAGUCGGAAUCGCUAGUAAUCGCAGGUCAGCAUACUGCGGUGAAUACGUUCCCGGGCCUUGCACACACCGCCC
rnacentral:rRNA from 1 species